rnacentral:tRNA from 1 species
GCGGGAGUAGCUCAGGGGUAGAGCGUCUCCUUGCCAAGGAGAAGGUCGCGGGUUCAAUUCCCGUCUCCCGCU